UACGUAGGGGGCAAGCGUUGUCCGGAUUUAUUGGGCGUAAAGAGCGUGUAGGCGGCCAGGUAGGUCUGCUGUGAAAACUCGAGGCUCAACCUCGAGAUGUCGGCGGAAACCAUCUGGCUAGAGUCCGGAAGAGGAGAAUGGAAUUCCCGGUGUAGCGGUGAAAUGCGCAGAUAUCGGGAAGAACACCCGUGGCGAAGGCGGCUACCUGGACCGGUACUGACGCUGAGGCGCGAAAGCUAGGGUAGCAAACAGG
rnacentral:rRNA from 1 species